rnacentral:lncRNA from 1 species
GCAAUAAAAUGAACUUGGCUAUAUGUAUCGAGAUGCGUGAAUCUCAAAAGCAUGACAUUGAACUGAUGCAGCAAGACACAGAAUACAGGGAGAAGCACUAGAAGUGUGAUUUCCUGAAGGAAAUAUAAUGAUCUGUUCAUCGAAGUAGAAGAUAUUGUUGGCCACGUGGGAUCGAAGACCAAAAACAUGCAGCGUCUGAGCUACCACGGCUGACAUGAUCUCCCGCCAAAGAGUUCUGCUGAAGACCAAGGCAGCACUUCAGAGUGGAGAGCACCGCCCCGCUCCGACCCCGCCCCCGC